UCCAGCACUCAGCAGACGAUUGUAAUCGAGGCACAGCGAUUUCGGGGCUCGACGACGUUUUGCAAUCUUUUAUUUAAAUUUUCACGUUUGAAAUCGAAUUUUCUACCGUGAAACAAUGGCCGAGGGCGAACAAAAGCUUACGGGCUUGGCAAAACAUUUUAAUAGUCAAACAAAUUAUGGUCGGAGGAAUGUGACGGUUGCAACUUACGCUGGUAUAGGAGUGAUUGCCUUGUACUUCUUCGUGAGAUCAAAGACUAAAAAGACAUAACUUAUAGAAUUGCAGUCGCAUUAUGUAA